rnacentral:rRNA from 1 species
GAUCCUGGCUUAGGAUGAACGCUGGCGGCGUGCUUAACACAUGCAAGUCGAACGAAGCAAUUAAGCGGAAGUUUCGGAUGGAAGCUUAAUUGACUUAGUGGCGGACGGGUGAGUAACCCGUGGGUAACCUGCCUUAUACUGGGGGAUAACAGUUGGAAACGACUGCUAAUACCGCAUAAUAAAGAAUAUCGCAUGAUUUUCUUUUGAAAUAUUUAUAGGUAUAAGAUGGACCCGCGUCUGAUUAGCUAGUUGGUGAGGUAACUGCUCACCAAGGCGACGAUCAGUAGCCGGCUUGAGAGAGUGACCGGCCACAUUGGGACUGAGACACGGCCCAAACUCCUACGGGAGGCAGCAGUGGGGAAUAUUGCACAAUGGGGGAAACCCUGAUGCAGCGACGCCGCGUGAGUGAAGAAGUAUUUCGGUAUGUAAAGCUCUAUCAGCAGGGAAGAUAAUGACGGUACCUGACUAAGAAGCCCCGGCUAACUACGUGCCAGCAGCGGC